CCCUUUUGCACCUUCUCACUUUGUGGUGCUUAAGACCAAACCACAUGGUAUAGUAAAGGCACAUGCUGGCACUAUGAAGUGCCAGACGUGCAGCAUAAACAACACUCAAUGUGGCCAUGUGCGAGUCCUGCAGGACUGUUUGAAAGCAACAGGUGCUGAGGGGAGUGCCGUGAGAGCAGCUCUGAACGGAGGAGCGCCUUAUCAGGAUGUCCGGAAGCUGGCUGUGUCCUCAAAGCCCAUCCCAUUUGACAUCCCCAGUGAUAAGAGGAUGCACUACAGCAAUUCUUUUGCUUUGCUGGAGAGGAACUCAGAGGAUGUGAUACUCCUCCAUAAAAAUGUUGGGAGGUGUGAUUGUGGCCAUGCCAUGUCUGCCACCCCGAAAGAUAUAUAUAUUUACACUCAGGCCAUGGUGGCAAAAGCGAUAAUUCAUCAACAAGCAUGUGAAUUAUGUGGGGUCCAACGGCCCUUUGACGGGGGAGAGGAGUUCCUCCUGAACAUGGGAACAUAUGUAGUCCACCAUGGGAUACUAAGGGACUACAUGUACCAUUUUUUAAAUUCAAG